rnacentral:rRNA from 1 species
GAUGAACGCUAGCUACAGGCUUAACACAUGCAAGUCGAGGGGUAACGAGAGGGAAGCUUGCUUUCCUUGUCGACGACCGGCGCACGGGUGAGUAACGCGUAUCCAACCUGCCCCCAACUAGGGAAUAACCUUGCGAAAGUAAGACUAAUACCCUAUAAUUUCCUCAGAUGUCAUCUGACGAGGAAUAAAGAUUUAUCGGUUGUGGAUGGGGAUGCGUCUGAUUAGCUUGUUGGCGGGGUAACGGCCCACCAAGGCAACGAUCAGUAGGGGUUCUGAGAGGAAGGUCCCCCACAGUGGAACUGGGACACGGUCCAAACGCCUACGGGAGGCAGCAGUGAGGAAUAUUGGUCAAUGGGCGGAAGCCUGAACCAGCCAAGUAGCGUGCAGGAUGACGGCCCUAUGGGUUGUAAACUGCUUUUAUACAGGAAUAAAGUUAGCCACGUGUGGUUAUUUGUAGGUACUGUAUGAAUAAGGACCGGCUAAUUCCGUGCCAGCAGCCGCCGUAA